CCAUUAUUAAGAUGCAAACUAAUGGAUAACAGUAUAACACAAAUGAAAAACCAUGCGAAAGAAAAUUAUUCCAUUAGUAACCACGUAUCUAUCCAAUGUAACGUUUAAUAUGCUAUGAUGAAGACCUUCAACCAGAAAAAGACGAUGAUAAGUCAGCACCAGAAAUAUUAAAGAAAGGUAAAGAAGCCAUUCACAUAUGAGACUGCAUCCAUGGUGCUUGGCUCAACGCUGCAGAUGUCAGUUACCCUGCUGCAUGGGGGACCUGGAGACACCGGCAACCGUAUUAGCCAUCAAGGUCGAUGAUGGGGGUGUGGCAUAAAAGUUGAUCGCGAGAUUCAUUCCGAGAAUGGUAUUAUGAAGUCAAUCAUGUGUCUCCUUGUGUGCCCAUUACUUAAUGAGUUUGUAACAUCUGUUUAAAGCUGCACUGUAGUUGUAUAGCUGUUCGUGAAUUACCAAUCUAUAGGUGUUUAUGUGAACUUGACAAUGACGGCUAAAACGUAUCUUGGUUGGUUGGAUGGUGAGGCUGGGACAUAAGAUUUUCCAGUUUUGCCCUUCAUCCAAGAAUCUUGAGAGUUCCAGUCAGGUGGUCACAGCUGCCCAUAACGACCUGAGCUAGCUAAGUUCAGAAGCAUGCCAUAUUGGAUGAAACACCUGGCCAAAAGCUAAAGAUCUGAAAGUAAGUUUCAAGAUCAAACUAUCUUUCUAUUGACAGAGACUUUUACAGUAAUUCCAGUGUAAGAGGUGUCAAGUAUUGUCGUCCCUUUUGUUAGUAACCAUUACUACAGUUCCCAAAUGAAAGAGACAUUCGAAAAUUGCUUCUUUUCUUAGGAGAAAGUCUGAAGUUAUGGGUGACUUACCGAGUCAAGCAAGAUGUUGGCGGCGUUCUUAAUUCAAGAGAUUUACAAAUUGUUGUGCCUAGAAGUGCAUCAGUUAAUUGCCUUGCAAAACUCCUAUCUUGGCCGACGCAAAACUGAAAUGAUAGGACUGUAGAAACCAAAACACAAUCAGAUGCAUGUUUGAUUCAUUGCAGCAGAGAAUCAACAGAUACACAUACACGGUUCUAAAAAAUAGAUACGCAUACAAAGACAAAGUAAUGGAUAAUCUGAACACAUGACACAACAUGUACGCAUUAGCAGGAGAAAGAAUCAGCUCACCAUGGCCCGGAUAUACUCUUUGAAGGACAGAUGGUACUUGUCGUAGAGCUGUUGCGAGUAGUGCUGAGUCUUUUGCGAGCUGGGCCACAAAAAGAGACAAAUGGCAGGCACCAAGAUGAGCACCAGAUCAGAUCGAGUCGAGCAUAGCCUACGCAUGGUCGGAGAGAGGCUGGGACGGAUGUGACUUACGUGUAGAGCAAUGUGAAUCCUUGGAGUUGAACUGCGGCUCCAGCUUGCCCUCGAGGAUGCUCAUGAGAUUUUUGAUGCCCUUCUUCAUGAUGAAGUUCCAC
rnacentral:lncRNA from 1 species